CUGGAAGUUAGAGUAUGUUGUGCACAUUUACAAGAAAGGUAGUAGUGAGAAGUCGGGCAACUAUAGGCCAAUAAGCCUUAGUUCAGUAGUGGGGAAAGUAAUGAAAACCAAGUUAAAGGAUAGAAUUGUUGUACAUCUAAAAUCACAUGGAUUUCAAGAUCAGAGACAACAUGGGUUUACUUCAGGAAGAUCAUGCCAAACUAAUCUUAUUGAUUGGGUAACUA